rnacentral:rRNA from 1 species
UACGGGGGGGGCAAGCGUUGUUCGGAUUUACUGGGCGUAAAGGGCGCGUAGGCGGCCAGCGCAAGUCAGUUGUGAAAUCUCCGGGCUUAACUCGGAACGGUCAACUGAUACUGCGCGGCUAGAGUGCAGAAGGGGCAACUGGAAUUCUCGGUGUAGCGGUGAAAUGCGUAGAUAUUGAGAGGAACACCUGCGGCGAAGGCGGGUUGCUGGGCUGACACUGACGCUGAUGCGCGAAAGCCAGGGGAGCGAACGGG